rnacentral:rRNA from 1 species
AGAGUUUGAUCCUGGCUCAGGAUGAACGCUAGCUACAGGCUUAACACAUGCAAGUCGAGGGGCAGCGGGGAGGAAGCUUGCUUUCUCUGCCGGCGACCGGCGCACGGGUGAGUAACGCGUAUCGAACCUGCCUCAUACUCGGGAAUAGCCUUGCGAAAGUAAGAUUAAUGCCCGAUGUUUUCAGCGGUCCGCAUGAACUGCUGAACAAAGAUUUAUCGGUAUGAGAUGGCGAUGCGUCCCAUUAGCUUGUUGGCGGGGUAACAGCCCACCAAGGCAUCGAUGGGUAGGGGUUCUGAGAGGAAGGUCCCCCACAUUGGAACUGAGACACGGUCCAAACUCCUACGGGAGGCAGCAGUGAGGAAUAUUGGUCAAUGGACGCAAGUCUGAACCAGCCAAGUAGCGUGCAGGAUGACGGCCCUCCGGGUUGUAAACUGCUUUUAGUUGGGAAUAAAGUGCAGCUCGUGAGCUGUUUUGUAUGUACCAUCAGAAAAAGGACCGGCUAAUUCCGUGCCAGCAGCCGCGGUAAUACGGAAGGUCCAGGCGUUAUCCGGAUUUAUUGGGUUUAAAGGGAGCGCAGGCGGACUCUUAAGUCAGUUGUGAAAUACGGCGGCUCAACCGUCGGACUGCAGUUGAUACUGGGAGUCUUGAGUGCACACAGGGAUGCUGGAAUUCAUGGUGUAGCGGUGAAAUGCUCAGAUAUCAUGAAGAACUCCGAUCGCGAAGGCAGGUAUCCGGGGUGCAACUGACGCUGAGGCUCGAAAGUGCGGGUAUCAAACAGGAUUAGAUACCCUGGUAGUCCACGCCGUAAACGAUGAAUGCUAAGUGUUGGAGGGUUUCCGCCCUUCAGUGCUGCAGCUAACGCAAUAAGCAUUCCGCCUGGGGAGUACGACCGCAAGGUUGAAACUCAAAGGAAUUGACGGGGGCCCGCACAAGCGGAGGAACAUGUGGUUUAAUUCGAUGAUACGCGAGGAACCUUACCCGGGCUUGAAUUGCAGAGGAAGGAUUUGGAGACAAUGACGCCCUUCGGGGCCUCUGUGA